CAGAGGAUGCACUUCGUAGUCUUCCUCGACAGCCUCCCACAAAUCACUAGCCUCCAAAUAAACUUGCAUUUUUACUGCCCAGGCUUGAUAGUUUUCUCCAUCGAAAACUGGUGGAGCCAUAGCAGAAAAAGAGCCUGCAUUCUCCAUUGUUUUAAUGGUGUUUUGCAGAGAAUAUUUUAUGGAUAAACACUCAGAAAAGAAC
rnacentral:lncRNA from 1 species